CCUACGGGUGGCAGCAGUGAGGAAUAUUGGUCAAUGGGCGCGAGCCUGAACCAGCCAAGUAGCGUGAAGGAUGACUGCCCUACGGGUUGUAAACUUCUUUUAUAAAGGAAUAAAGUGAGGCACGUGUGCCUUUUUGUAUGUACUUUAUGAAUAAGCAUCGGCUAACUCCGUGCCAGCAGCCGCGGUAAUACGGAGGAUCCGCGCGUUAUCCGGAUUUAUUGGGUUUAAAGGGAGCGUAGAUGGGUUGUUCAGUCAGUGGUGAAAGUUUGCGGAUCAACCGUAAAAUUGCAAUUGAUACUGGCAGGCUUGAGUACAGUUGAGGUAGGCGGAAUUCGUGGUGUAGCGGUGAAAUGCUUAGAUAUCACGAAGAACUCCGAUUGCGAAGGCAGCUUACUAAACUGCAACUGACAUUGAUGCGCGAAAGUGUGGGGAGCAAACAGGAUUAGAUACCCCAGUAGUC
rnacentral:rRNA from 1 species